AUAUUUUCCUCUCUUUCCUUCUUCUCUCUCUCUCUCUGUUUACAUAGUUGUAGUUAUACUGUAUACAUUACUUUGUACUCUACUUUAUUUCACUUAACAUGACAACAUAAGCAUUUACCCACAUCAUUAAAACUCCCUGGUACCGAGAGCCCAGGUCUAUUUUUAUAGAGAAGCUUAAGUGAUUCUCAGUGGGCUCUGCUACCCAGCCUUAAUCACACAAAGACAAGUUAUCAGGUUCUCUCCAAAGUCCUGGCCUGCCGCUUGCCUACUGAGCAGGAAGCAGAACUAAGGCUGUCAUGGAGAGGAAGGACAGGCCAAAUACUGUUUGGCUGCCUGCUCCCUCCCACGAGCCAGCCUGCAGCCUGCUAAGUAAGGGGCCCUGCUGAUCCAGAAUUCUUUCUUGCAGAAACACAUACUGGCUUUGAACCAAGGAGGCAGGCUCACUGCUGCAGCAGCCCCAGGGGAAAAAUCCAGACACAGAAUAAAAAAGUAAACUAUGCCAGUGACUGUAUGGCAGUAUAGCAGGAUUGCUCAUCUUAAUUUCCAGAAAAGCGUCAUCCUAACUCACAGGCAAGACAAAGGCUGCCCAGCAGCCUUUACCCCUACUUUCCACACGGUGAGUGCACUGGAGGUUUCAAAAAGCCUGCGGACUAAGACCAGGAGAACAGCAGACACAGCCCACUGGGAAGCCCAUGAUGUUGACCCCAGAGUGGACUUGUGGACUCGUCAACUCGGGCCAGGCUCCUGGCUCGCAGGCAGAAGGGACUUGCCUUGUCUCAAAUGAGACUUUGGACUGUGGACUUUUGGAUUAAUGCUAAAGAUCUCAUAUGCAUCUGGUUGUAAAGAAGAUCUAGCCAUGGCCUUCAGGCUACUGUUUUUUUGAAAAUCGAACACUGAGAAACCACAGCUCUCAAGGAAGCUACAGAAGACAGGAAAAGCAAGAAAAAGGGAUCUAAAAAAAGUCACCAGGAGACAUUCCAGGAAGCAGCAGAAGCUCUCUAUCCUUCAGAAUGAGCAACUUGCUACCGAGACUAAUGGUGUCAUUUCAAAGGAACGUACAUUGUUCUGUUAUAUUCUUCAUUUGCAGAACAAGUUAAAGCUACUGAGAAAACAAGAAGAGGAGGAAAUAAAGAACACAGAAAAGAACACACACAUACAAAUAUAGACUAUGAGAGAGUAGGAGCCCUUUUAUAUUUUAGGGUAAGUGACUGCCUCACAACAAAUUUGGUAACUUUUGAAGUCAAGUGAGCUCCUUCCAUUUCAGAACAGAUUUCUUUGGGCUGAUGUUGACCAUCUUACAAAGUCAAAGGCAGCAAUACCAUGGCUCUGCCACCUUUUCCUCUGGGGCUUAUGGCAUUUUUCUCUCUUCCCUUUAAUACGAUGUGGGUGGGCAGGGAUGGAUGUAAGGAAAUUGCUAAAGAGGAAAAUCAGAAUUUCUCGCAAGCCUGUAGAAAACCAACAUCUGGCUUUUCCCUUUCCAUUGCUUGGGUCACAUUCUAUAUAAGCAAGAGUUGCUGAUGACUUCAUCCACCUUCUUCACACAAAAGCAGCCUUGGUUUACAUGGGGAGCUCAGGACUGCACAGGAAGCUCUGCAGGGGGAUGGCGGGGAUAUGGCCCUAUACACACAGCCUGCCAUACUGCAUCCUGAGCCUGCCAGUUGGUCUUGUAAUAUGACCCAGAGUGUGAGCAAUAGUCAGGGAUUCUGCCAACUUACUAGUCCAAAUGGUUGGCACAGAAAUGAACUGCUCUUGUGAACACAGUCAAUAGCCAGAAACUCGCUGUAAUCCACCCUCUACCCCAACCAUCUUCUCACAUCCCCAUCUCACACAGUCUUAUCCACUUUAUCUCCCAGACCCCUGGCUGGGCUGUUCUGAGGCAUGUGCUAAGUAAAGGUGGAAGACCUAGAGAGAAGGUCAAGGUCAGGACAUUAACCCAAAGCUAAGCAAUGGCAUCAUGUGCAGGGCCACACAUUGUCAAUUUGUAUUGAGACGUUUUUCUGGCAGAGAGCAAGAAGGUGUCUUAGGACAGGAAUGCAUUUUUUCAACUUGCACAAAGGCCCCACGAGGACUAACAGCAGUAUUGACUGUAACCACCACAGCCAGGUACCUGCUGCCUACAAUAGCAGUGAAGAAACACCACCACCCUCUGGGACUAGGUGGGGCUUCAGGAGAAAUGGAAAUAUAAACAGAUGUGUUCCUGUCGUCAUCUCUGAUAUAAACAAUUUGGCAGAUCUAUUCGUUAGGAAUUAAGUUCAGUCUAUAAUAAGAGGGAUCACAAAAAAGAAGGAGGAGCAACUUAAAAAGAGGAUGGUUUAUGCUCUUCAUAAAAACAGAAAGUGAGUGAUCCAGGACUAAUACAGUAGGUCCACAAGCUCAUCAAAGACUGAGCUUCUUCCAUCUUUCUAUUGCACCAUCCUCAGCAUGCGACCUCUUUAUUCAAGGUUAUCUGUGGUUCCUGCCACCAUAUCCACACAUUCCAGAAAGGGAGAAAGAAGGGAGGCAAAAGAAGAGUUGCACCACUAGCUAAAUCAGCCUUUCUUAAGCAACAUUCCCAGACUCCCCACACUUUACUCCCAUAUAGGUCUCAUUGAUGGCAUUCAGCUGCAAAGGCAGUUGGGAAAUGUAGUCUUUACGCUGUGUAUGGCUGCAUCCUGGAUUCUCUCGCCACCCUGGUGCCUGCCAAGCAGGAGUAUUUCCCGUUUCUCUAGUGUGUUAAAUUAUCUCCUCCUUUUAGGCACUCAGACAGACCACAGCCAAAUGAUGAGAAGCAGAUUCAAUAUACAGAGCACAGCUAGGGAAUGUGUCCCACUUGCAAAGGUUGGGACUGCUUUCUUCGAUUAGCCAAGCAAACUUUUGACCUAGGAAACUAGACAAGGUAGAACCAAACAAAAAAGUAAUUGAUCUGAGUGCCUCCACAUGUGUUAUUUCUUGAGCUCCUCAACACAGAUCUGAGAGAGAAGCAAUUAUACCCAUUUUGCAACCGAACAUCAGAGGCUUCAAGAGCAAACAGACCCUGUCCAGGGUCCUGCUGUCAGGGUUGGCAGUAAAACCCAAGGGCCAUCUUGACUCCAAAACUUGCUACUAGUGAAAGCUAACAUAAAAAUUCAAUUACAAUAACGAAUAGGGAUUUAGUUGAUAAAAAACAUGAAUUUUGAAGCUAUGACAAGAAUUUCAAACAGUGUCCUAGCACUUGGAGGACUCUGCUAGUAUCAUCAAAAGCACCCAGUUGAUGACCUAGCCAGACUAUAACAAACAUAGUGCCCUACAAUGACAUUUUUUCCUUUUCCUUAUGAAGUUACUUAUUAAAAUUAAAGUCAGUACAGGCAUACCUCAUUUCAUUGCAUGUUCCAGACAUUGCAUUUUUUUAAUUGAGAGUUUGUGAUAACCCUGUGUCAAGCAAGUGCAUCAAUGCCAUUUUUCAAACAGCAUGUGCUCACUUCCUGUCUCUGUGUUAAAUUCCAGUAAUUCUCACAGUAUUUUCAACUUUUUCAUUCUUAUGUCCGUUAUGGUGACAUAUGACAUAUGAUCGGUGAUCUUUGAUGUUACUAUUAUAACUGCUUUGGGUAUCAUGAACCAUGCCCAUAUAAGAUGAUGAACUUAAUUGAUAAAAGUUCCAUAUGCUCUGACUCUUCUGCUGACUGGCCAUUCUUCCAUCUCUCACCCUCUUCUCAAGCCUCACUAUUCCUUGAGACACAACAAUAUUAAAAUGAGGCCCAUAAAAACCCUGCAAUGGCCUCUAAGUGUUCAAGUGAAAGGAGGAGUCGCACAUCUCUCACUUCAAAUCAGAAGCUGAAAAUGAUCAAGCUUAGUGGAAGGCAUGUCCAAAGCCAAGAUAGGCUGAAAGAUAGGCAGGCCUAUUGCACUAGCAAAUUUGUGAAUGCAAAGGAAAAGUUCUUGAAGGAAGUUAAAAGUGCUCCUCCAGUGAACACAUCAAUAAGAAAGCGAAACAGCCUUCUUGAUGAUAUGGAGAAAAUGUAAGUGGUCUGGAUAGAAGAUCAAACCAGCCACACUGCCUUAAGCCAAAGCCUAAUCCAGAGGAAGAUACCACCUCUCUUCAAUACAAUGAAGGCUGAAAGAGGUGAGGAAGCUGCAGAAGAAAAGGUUGAAGCCAGCGGAGGUUAGUUCAUGAGACUUAUGGAACAAAGCUGUCUCCAUCACAUAAAAAUGCAAGGCGAAGUAGCAAGUGAUGACAUAGAAGCUGCAGCAAGCUAUCCAGAAGAUCUUGCUAAGAAGGUGACCACACCAAACAACAGAUUUUCAGUGUAGGUAAAACAGCCUUCCAUUGGAAGAAGAUCCUAUCUAGGACUUUCAUAGCUAGAGAGGAGAAGUCAAUGCCUGCCUUCAAAGGACAAGCUCACUCUUUUACUAGGGCCUAAUGCACCUGGUGACUUUAAGUUGAAGCCAAUGCUCACUCAAAAACUCCUAGACAUACUCUGAAUGACAUACUCUGGCAGCGUUCUAAAAAUGGAACAACAAAGCCUGGAUGAUAGCAUAUCUAUUUACAGCAUGGUUUAUGGAAGAUUUUAAGCCCACUGUUGAGACCUGUUGCUCAGAAGAAAAGAUUCCUUUCAAAAUAUUACUCUUCACUGACAAUACACGCAGUCACCCGUCAGCUCUGAGGGAGAUGUAUAAGGAGAUGAAUGUUGUUUUUAUGCCUGCCAAUAUACCAUCCAUUCUGCAGCCUACGGUUCAAAGCAUAUUUUUGACUUCCAAGUUUUUGUAUUUUAAAAAUACGUUUUGUAAGGCCAAAGCUGCUAAAUAGUGAUUCCUCUAAUGAAUCUGGGCAAAGUAAAUUGAAAACCUUCUGGAAAGGAUUCGCCAUUCUGUUUGCCAUUAAAAACAUUUAACAAUUCAUGGGAGAAGGUCCAAAUAUCAACAUUAACAUAAUAUUGGAAGAAAUCAAUUCCAACCUUCACAGGUGAGUUUGUAGGGUUUGUGACUUUCGUGGAGAAAGUAGCUACAGAUGUGAUGGAAAUAGCAAGAGAACUAGAAUAAGAAGUGGAGCCUGAAGAUGUGACUGAAUUGCUGCAGUCUCAUGUUAAAACUUGAAAUAGAUGAGGAGGGGCUUCUUAUGAGUGAGCAAAAAAAGUGGUUUCUUAAGAUGGAAUUUCCUCCUGGUGAAGAUGCUGUGAACACUGUUGAAAUGACAACAAAGGAUUUAGAAUAUUCCAUAAAUUUAGUUGACAAAGCAGCACCAGGGUUUGAGAGGCUCAAUUCCAUUUUUUGAGAGAAGUUCUACUAUAGGUAAUAUACUGUCUCAAACAGCAUUGCACGCUACAAAUAAAUCUUUCAUGACGGGAAGAAUCAAUUGAUGUGUCAAACUUCAUUGCUGUCUCAUUUUAAGAAAUUGCCACAGCCACCUCAAGCUUCAGCAACCACCACCCUCAUCAAUCAGCACUAGCGAUAUGGAGGCAGGACUCUCCACCAGCAAAAAGAUUACCACUCAAUAAAGGCUCAGAUGACCUUUAGCAUCUUUUAGCAAUAAAGUAUCUUUUAAUUAAGGUGGGUACAUUUUUUAGACAGAUGAGGAGUGGUUAUGGCACACUCAAUAGACUACAGUAUAAUGUAAGCAUAACUUUUACAUGUGCUGGAAAACC
ensembl:lncRNA